rnacentral:rRNA from 1 species
UACGUAGGCAGCAAGCGUUGUUCGGAAUUACUGGGCGUAAAGAGUGUGUAGGCGGUGCUCUAAGUUCGGUGUGAAAUCUCCCGGCUCAACUGGGAGGGUGCGCCGGAAACUGGAGUGCUGGAGCGCGGGAGAGGAAAGCGGAAUUCCUGGUGUAGCGGUGAAAUGCGUAGAUAUCAGGAGGAACACCGGCGGUGUAGACGGCUUCUGGACCGUAGCUGACGCUGGAGACACGAAAGCGUGGUAGCAAACAGG